CGUAUACUAAAGUUGCUGCAGUUAAAAAGCUCGUAGUUAAGGUUCUGGGUGACGGGUGUUGGUGGACGCAUGUCUGCCGUUCCGUCACUCACAUUUGUGGGAAUAGUUCGCUAGUCCCACUCAGUCACUGUGAAGUAAUCCGAGUGUCCCAAGCAGGCGGUUUGGCCUGAAGGGUAUAGCAUGGAAUGACGAGAUAGGACCUUGUGGUAUUUCGUGGGUUUGCACUGUAAGGUAAUGAUGAAGAGGGGCGGUUUGGGGCACUCAGAUUUGGCUGCCAGAGGUGAAAUUCUUGGAUCAGCCAAAGAUGGACGACUGCGAAAGCACUUGCCAGGGACGCUCCCGCUAAUCAAGAACGAAAGUCAGGGGAUCGAAGAGGAUUAGAUACCCUCGUAGUCUUGACCAUAAACGAUACCGACUCGGGAUUUGCAGGCGUGUUUUCUUGACCCUGCAAGCACCGUAAGAGAAAUCAAAGUCUUUGGGUUCCGGGGGGAGUACGUUUGCAAAAAUGAAACUUGAAGGAAUUGACGGAAGGGCACCACCAGGAG
rnacentral:rRNA from 1 species